rnacentral:rRNA from 1 species
UGCUGUCACUUAUAGAUGGAUCCGCGCUGCAUUAGCUAGUUGGUAAGGUAACGGCUUACCAAGGCAACGAUGCAUAGCCGACCUGAGAGGGUGAUCGGCCACACUGGAACUGAGACACGGUCCAGACUCCUACGGGAGGCAGCAGUAGGGAAUCUUCCGCAAUGGGCGAAAGCCUGACGGAGCAACGCCGCGUGAGUGAUGAAGGUCUUCGGAUCGUAAAACUCUGUUAUUAGGGAAGAACAUAUGUGUAAGUAACUGUGCACAUCUUGACGGUACCUAAUCAGAAAGCCACGGCUAACUACGUGCCAGCAGCCGCGGUAAUACGUAGGUGGCAAGCGUUAUCCGGAAUUAUUGGGCGUAAAGCGCGCGUAGGCGGUUUUUUAAGUCUGAUGUGAAAGCCCACGGCUCAACCGUGGAGGGUCAUUGGAAACUGGAAAACUUGAGUGCAGAAGAGGAAAGUGGAAUUCCAUGUGUAGCGGUGAAAUGCGCAGAGAUAUGGAGGAACACCAGUGGCGAAGGCGACUUUCUGGUCUGUAACUGACGCUGAUGUGCGAAAGCGUGGGGAUCAAACAGGAUUAGAUACCCUGGUAGUCCACGCCGUAAACGAUGAGUGCUAAGUGUUAGGGGGUUUCCGCCCCUUAGUGCUGCAGCUAACGCAUUAAGCACUCCGCCUGGGGAGUACGACCGCAAGGUUGAAACUCAAAGGAAUUGACGGGGACCCGCACAAGCGGUGGAGCA